GAGGCUUUACCAUGUGUAUAAUAGGCCAAUGGCUAUGCUGUGCACGCGAAACAUGUCCUGCCCCUUUAAAUCACGAAGGGAGUUACCAUGGAAACUGAAGGAGCACGAGGACAGCUAGCUCCGUCUCCCGCGGUUUCUUCGCUGUUUUCAAGAGUGACAAAAACCCUCUAUAAUAGAAGAGAAGCUCAAGAUUUCAACAUUUUCUGAAGGGAGUUGCAGACAGGUGUAGAAAACUGCUUUUCAAAUUUUCCACAUUUAUCACAGUUAUUUUAAGAUGUUGACAUCUAAACAUUUGUCCAUGCUAAUGGCCGAGCAGUAGGGUUGGAACAGACCUGUCAGAAAACAUCUCUGAACCAUAUGACUAAUUUCAAAACAAUUUAUUCUUGAGAGGAGGCACCACAGUUAAAGACAGUGUUUUGAAGAAUUUUGAACUUCCUGCUCACAAACUACAUACUUAUCCAGUUAGUCUGACAGGCUAUCAAUGAGAAUGCGGCAUUACAGGACACCACUGAAAACUAUACCACUAAAAACUGAUUAUUGCUGCAGUCAGAAGAAACAGAUUAACAGCAACUAUCUGCUUGAGACCAAGAGAUUGAGCACUGGGUUAAGACAUGGUUGCAGCUUGCCACAGACAGAGAUGAAGGUCGUUGGGCAAAAGAGAAGAUUUAAAGGCAUAGCUCACCCAAAAAUGGAAACUCAUUUACUUACCAUCAAGAUGUUUCAAACUCUAUCAAAUGUAUUUGUUCAGUUACUGACUGUUAUAAAUUAUACAGGUUUGGAACAACCUUUGGGUGAGCAAAAUUACAGUUUUAAUUUUAAUUAGUGAACUAUCCCUAUUGUGAGUUUUAUAAGUUUAUUAAGAAAUGUUGAGUAUUAUAUCAGAGUUUUGUAUGUAAGGAGAUGGUAGUUGUACGUUUGUGUGUUAAUAUAGAUGGUUUCAGUGGCAACAACAUAAAUCACUUUCAUGGCCCAAACUUAACUUCGGGUAGACCUCCACAUAGAUUCAAUAACAACCGAGUAUCUCUGGAGCAGUUUUUUUUCUGAUAACAAACAAAAUAAAUAACCAGUAAAUAGCCUUAGAUCAAAUCAUAGCUAAAGCAUUUCAACCAUUACAUUGAUCUAAUGUUACUGGGUAAAAUUAAGCUUUACAAUUUUAGCUACAGAUCUUUGAAAAUGUUUGUACGGUAUACUGUCCAUUUCCAGAAAGGUAAUAAAAACAGCGUGCACAGUGACGCUGCUGACGUGUUAUCCUCAGACAUGUUUGUGAAGAUUGUUUUGUUUAUAGCGUGCGUCUCCCUCAGACUGUAAAAAAAGCUUGGGAACAAGAAAAAGCUUGGGCAAAAAAGAUAACAUGUCAGCAGCGUCACUCCAGUGUUGUGCACGAGGUUCACAACAGACCUGGAAGAGAAGACGAUGCUGAAUAAAGUCAUAAUUUCUGUUAUUUUUGGACCAAAAUUUAUUUUCGAUGCUUCAACACAUUCUAACUGACCCACUGAUAUCACAUGGACUACUUUGAUGAUGUACAGUAUAUAUUUGAUCGUGUAUACACAUAUCUAAAACAUCUUAAACUGUUUCCAAAGAUGAACGGAGGUGUUACGGGUUUGGAAUGACAUGAGGGUCAUUAAUUACAUAAUUAUCAUUUUGGAUGAAAUAACCCUUUAAGUUUGGCCAGGUGUGUAACUGUGGCAACGCACAUGCAUCUAUGGGUUCCAGUAUAUCUUACUAUAUAACAUAUUAAUUUAACUAACAUGUUUGACAAAUAUAAUUAUGUUUAUUUAUAAAUUAUUAUCUGUAUUGGAUUUUUUAAAUGUUUAAUAAAGAAAUUUUGACUAUA